GGCGUAAUAAUGUAGUUACACAAUUCAAUAAUAUUCUUCUAUAUUUUAAUGGUCUAACAUGACUAAAAAUAUCAAAAAAAGAAAUGAAGAUCAAGUCCCAGUUCAUGUCAUGGCAUGCGCGGCACGCCCUCGCAUGAGGGACUUGGAGUUGUGGAAGAGGGGCUCAGGUGGGGGCAGAAAAUUUAGCCCCAUGUGCCGCAUGCUCAUCACGAGGAAACUGGGACUGACAUCGAAACUCGUGAUGGCGUCACUUCGCGAGGAAAGGAGAAAGUCAGGCAAAGGUGAUGGCAUGUGAUAGGCUCACACCGGAUACCCUAAAUAUAAGUUAAAACUAGGGGAGAGAGAAAUGAAUUUUGAAGAGGUUUUUGAGGAGACUGUGCAAGCCAUUAUCACUUCAAAGGUGAGGUGAGGUAUUAUGAUGGUUUUGAGUAUAUUCCACUCAUUUAUUACAAUUUAUGACAUCAAAUCCCAUGGAAUCCACAUAAAUUUCAAGAUUGACCAAGAAUCCCGACAAUCUUCCAAGUAAAGAUUUUGACUCAAAGAGGUAAUCCCAUACUUUGAGCUUCCAUUAUGGUGCUUAAUAAGAUUUUUAAUAGUAUGUAUGGAUAGAAAUUGUGAUCUAAACAUGAUCCUGAAGUAACCCUAAAGUUGAGGCUUGUGAAGAAAAUGACAAUAGUAACCUAGGGUUAACAAAUGAAAUGGAUAAUUGUUCUAAUAACCCCCCACCCCACCCCACCCACCCCCACACACACACAAGGAAUUUAAUAUAUAUAUUGGAGUUGGUGGACAUGAAUAAGGUUUAAGAGCAAUGUAUCAAUACUAGAUGGGUUGUGUUGGGAUAGCUUGGAUGGAAAUUGAUAGAAAUUAAUUAUGAAUAUAUAGAUUGAUACUAUUGGACACUAUUGGAAAUUGUUUGAUUAUUUGUGAAAUUGAGACGAGGCAACUUGAGAUGUAAGUACCUUUAAGGCAUCUUUUGAAAAAUGCAUGAAUGUGAGUAUAGUACUUUGGGGCAAGCCAGCAUCUUUUGAACAUGCAUAUGCAUAAACUUACCUUUUUAUGAUUUAAGGAAAACACUUUAUGUAUGUUUUGACAGUUAAGCUAGCGUUCUUCAUCAAACCAUGUAUCCUUUGAUUACUUCAUUUCAAACUUAUUAAUUUGUUUUCAAGUAAAAAAAUGUUAUGUAUAUGCUUAUUGUCCCUAUUAAGUAUCCCACAUCGAAAAAGGGAUAAGUAACUGAUCUCCUUAUAUGGACUUGGGCAAUCCUCCCCUCAUGAGCUAGCUUUUGAGGUUGAGUUAGGCCCAAGAUCCAUUAUUUACAUGAUAUCAAAGCCAGACCCAUCCCAAAUCUUUGUUUACCGAUGUUGGGCCCCUAUAUUUUAUUGUCCACGCUCCAGUUAAUGAGGUCUGGGUGUGUGGGGGAGUGUUAAGUAUCCCACAUCGAAAAAGGAAUGAGUAAUUGGUCUCCUUAUAUGGACUUGGGGAAUCCUCCCAUCAUGAGCUAACUUUUGAGGUUGAGUUAGGCCCAAGAUCCAUUAUUUACAGUCCUAAGAAAAACUGACACCUUUAUGUAUUUAGAAAGACUUCAACUUUAAACUUCCCAUUUUAUCAUUAAUGAGAUUAUUCUUAGUCAAUUGCCUUUGACUUUUUUUGGGGGGAGGGUUCAACGACAUUUGUAUUGAAGCUAGUACUUAGUACUGAAAAACAUAUUUACAAGGAAAUAGUUGUAAAAUUUAUCAAAAGAGAAUCAAACCUAACUGGUGCUUAAGACAUCUAGGAUUGAUUCUGUGUCACCAGAAUACAGUUUGAUGCACCAAAAACAGAACAGCAAAAUACAGUUAAGCUUAAUAUUUAGGACAAAAUUUCUUUAAUCUUCAAAGCAUCUAUCAUUUCUUUCCUUCCAAAUGGUCCACCAUAUAUAUGAUGGUAUAAUCCUCCAUCUCUCUCUAUUCCCUGCACCACUUCCUACCUCCUCCCAGCUAAACAAAGUGUCAUCAAUCUUGCUUGGUAUCGUCCAUGCUAUGUCUCUGAAAUUGAUGAAAAUCUUUCAUAGUUGGUUUGUUAUGUUGCAGUGUAGGAACAUGUGGUUAACUGUCUCUGACUCUUUUUCACAGAGAAAGCAUCUAGAUCAAAGAGCAAUAUUUUUUUUAAUCAGAUUUUCAUGUGUUGAGACAGUUUUUUUAGCAAGUAACCAGGUGAAACAAGAUACUUUGUAAGGUAUCUUCGUUUUCUAGAUAUGUUUCCAAGGCCAAUUAUUGAGUUGUGGCUCUAUUUGGUUCAAGAUUUAGUAGCCAGAGCUAACCUUGUAUGCUCCACUUGUGUUUUCGCUCCACUAUAGGCAUCAACUCCAUCUUGUGUCCUAUUUGGUUGGUUAAACAGCUCCAGAAGUCUAGGUAUCUCCCAGUCGUUUAACAUUCUUUUGAACCUCAAGUCCCAUCCCUGAUGUGUCCAAACCUCAGCUACUGUUCUCUGUUGGUCUAAAGCCAGGACAAAUAGAUCCGGGAACAGGUCUAGGAGGCAUCUUGUUCCAACCCAUUUGUCUUUCCAAAACCUAGUCUUGUUUCCAUUAAACAAUCUAAUAUGAGAAUGAUUUUUGAGAAAGGGCCAAAAAUAUCUUAUAGACCUCCAAAGACUAAUUCCAUAUGGAUUGUUGACCUCCUUGGAAACCCAACUACUUCUUCCCUAUAUUUGCUCCUGAUGACUCUGCUCCAUAAAGUUUGAGGUUCCUGUGAAUAUCUCCAACGCCAUUAAAGCUUCAAAGCUACUUCAAAUUUCUCAUGCCAAGUCCCUUUUUUCUCUUGCUUCUGGUGAUAUCUUUCCAUUUGACUAGGUGAAAAUCUAUUUUUUCUUUGUUCCCUUGCCAGAGAAAAGUUCUCCUGAUCUUUUCUAGCCUUUGAGUGAAUCCAGAUGGAUUGGGAAAAGGGAAAGCAUCCAGGACAUCAUUAAUUAGAGUGAGUCACCACCACCAAGUAUUGUGAUUUCCACCUUGACAGUUUCUUCUCACACAUCUACAAAAUGGAAUCCUACAUUCUUUUAGACUUCGAUUUGGCUCCCAAAGGCAUGCCCAAGUGUAGGUAAGUUUCCCAUCUCACCUCCUAGAAUUGUUGCUAAAGGCUCCAUAUCAGGCACCUGAUUUAUGGGGUAGAUGGGGCUCUUCCUCCGAUUGAUGUGAAGGCCUGAAAUAACCUCAAACAAAAUUAAGAUCACUCUCAAAUACUUCAACUACUCCUCCUUUUCUACUCCGCAAAAUAUUAGAGUAUCACCCUCAUACAGCACGUGAGUGAUUUUCAUUAUUUGAUUAUUGUUCCUAGCCACUUCAAAACAUUGGAACCAUCCAUUAGCAAUAACCACUUUUAUCAUGCUAUUACGGCCUUUCGUAGCUAAAAUAAACAGGAAAUUAUCUUUCACUUAUUUCAGACCACAAGUUUGAAAAGCUUUCUUCUUAACUUUGUAACUAGCCAAAUAAUACCACAUAAAUUGGGAUAGAGGGAGCAUUCAAAAAGAUCGACUAAGGGCCUCAAUGCUAAGUCUAAAUGUAAAGGACCUAAAUGUGAUCACAUGUUACAAGUUAUAUGUUUUGGGAGGAGUAUGGACCUUAGAAAUCGAAAGAAUAUUUGCCAACAGUAAAAGAUUCGUUUAUGUUAGGAUCUUUAAGGAAAGAUUGAUUCACAGAGCGAUAAUAUAUAAAUUCAGUCUGAUAAAGGAAGGCUGAAACCUUAGAGUUCAAUGGAAGAGAGAACUCCGAUAUCUUUAGCUUGUUAAAAAGAGGCUGAAACAUUAGAGUUCAAGGCUGAUCUCUUACUUUUUGUUGAAAUAUGACUUAUCGAUUUAUUCUCCAAAAAACCCUUUAAAUUCGGAGUCGCACUACAACAGUUUAAUCUUAAUGAAAGUAGGAAACAUAAAACCUCAUUCUAGAAAGUCUAAUCCUUAUGAAAGUAGGAAACAUAAACUCUAACCCUGAUCCUUAUAAAACUAGGAGACUUAAAUUUUAUUCUAGAAUAAUAAAGCAAGUUAGUUAAAAUAUAAUUUAAUACUUAAUUAAUUGAGUUCUAUGCAUCCACAAUAUCACUUCCCUCACAUUGAAAGAGCUUGUCCUCAAGCUCGAAUUUCAAGGCAGUCAUUCCAAACUUCUAAAAUAGUGUCAACUGAAUCAUCUAAUUCCAUCCCUAGCCAACUUAUCUUGAAACUUACUUUGAUAACUUUCAAUUGUACCCGUUUGCUGGGGCAUGACUAAUUGGCCCAUAAGCUGAUAAUAUCAUAAUUGUGCUUCUCCCAACGUGUGAAACCCAUCCACUUCAACCUUUUCUACUUCCAUUGUAUGUUGAUUUUCAAAAAAUUGUUCCCAACGAUGUCCACAAAUUAAUUGGUCGGGGUCAACGUAAGUAGGAAAUUCCAUUUUUGCGUACCUUGGUACUGUCGAAUGAGAAUUACCACUUGUUGGAUGAUUCUGGUCAGUCUAUUGAAUAGGCGGUUUAUUGCCUUUAGUAGUAGGAGUGGUUGAUAUGCCAAUCAUCGGGAUGCUACUCAACUCAGUUCUGUGGGUUGCUGGUUUUGAGGAGCCAAUUCCUAAGCUAGACAAUUGUUCUUGGAUGAUUUGGACAAAUUCUUUCGUUGAGGCGUUGUUCCAUGGCUGCAAUUUUAGAGUCCAUUAGGAUUUCUGUAACUGCACGUUCUUCCUGAAAUCUUGAAUUGAUCUCAUCGCCCAUUGUGUGUUGUUCCAUUGCUUAAUUUUAGAGUCCAUUAGGGUUUCUGUAACUGCACGUUCUUCAUGGAAUCUGGAAUUGAUCUCAUCGCCCAUUGUGUUAGGCUCUGAUACCAAAUUAUUAGGAUCUUUAAGGAAGGAUUGAUUCAUCAGGCGAUAUAUAUAAAUUCAUCUCAUUAAAGGGAGGCUGAAACCUUAGAGGUUAAUAAAAGAGAGAACUCUGAUUUCUUGUUUUUUUUUUCUGAAAUACGACUUAUCAAUUUAUUCUUCAAAAACCCCUUUAAAUAGGAGUCAUACUACAACAGUUUAAUCCUUAUGAAAGUAGAAAACAUAAAAUCCUAUUCUAGAAAGUCUCAUCCAUAUGGAAGUGAGAAACAUAAACUCUAACCCUAAUCCUUAUGAAACUAGGACACUUAAUUCCUAUUCUAGAAAAAUAAAGAAAACUACUUAAAAUAUAAUUUACUACUUAAUUAAUUGAGUUCCGCGUAUCCACAACAGGUUAUAUGUAGAAACAAUACAUUCACGUGUAGGAUUAUAGUUUAUACCUUUUUAAAUGGCAACUACUCUUACCAUGCCUAUAGGAGGUACCAUUAGUGUUAGCAUACAUCGUCAAACCAUACAGCAUUAUCAUGAGACGGCCUUGCUGAUUGAGCAUUGGUGGUUGUCAUGAUGUACACAUGACACAAUUAUGACAGCGUCGGUGUCUAUAAGGACUCACAAGUUAAAGUAAAUUAUAGUUCAGUUAAGUCAAAUGCUUGUGGCUGCAAUUUCCGGUUAUGAUUUGCUUUGCAAUUUUUAUCCGCUUUUACAAAUGUAUCUACAAAAUGGUUAUGAUAUUUUGCUUACUAUGCAUGUUCAUGUUUUCUAAAGCUUCAUUCCAACUUCAUUGGAAGGAGUCGAUGACAGUCGUAUGGGCAAUUUAUUGGUUGUGUUCCGGCAAAUUCAGGAGCUCCCAAAGUAGAUGGCACGAGCUAAAUGCCUUUGCUUUCCAGUCAUUUUUUAUUAGCCACACCUAAGUCAUCAGCUGGUGCUGAUACAUUAUACAAUUCUUUUGUUGAGCCAAGGAAUGCCCCGUACCUUUAUUCUCUUAUUUACGUCUUUAGAGGUUCCAUGACACACCCACAAUGAGAGAUCUAGUUAUGGACAUGGGACUCUAUACCUUUUGUUUCUCAUGUUUGUAUGUUAUGCUUCCGCAUUUAUCAUUUUGCGGCUUAUAUCCAAACUUAUGCUUUUCAAUUCAUGACUUAGGCCACGUGAGCUAUAUGCUUACAUUUAGCAUUAUAAAUGUUUUAUGACAUGAUAUAUUCAUUGUUCGUUAUGAUGGGUACCUAAGUUUGGUUGAGGAAGACGGUUUUGUCGCUCAAUGGAAAUUAAAGGCUACGCGCAGAGGAGCAGGUAC
rnacentral:lncRNA from 1 species